rnacentral:tRNA from 1 species
UCCCUGGAGGUCCAGUGGUUAGGACUCUGUGCUUCCAAUGCAGGGGGCGGAGGUUCAAUCCCUGAUCAGGGAA